rnacentral:tRNA from 1 species
UCCCUGGUGGCUCAGAUGGUAAAGCGUCUGCCUGCCAUGCAGGAGACCCCGGUUGGAUCCCUGGGUUGGGAA